AUUGAACGCUGGCGGCAUGCCUUACACAUGCAAGUCGAACGGUAACGGACCUUCGGGUGCCGACGAGUGGCGAACGGGUGAGUAAUGUAUCGGAACGUACCUUUCAGUGGGGGAUAACGUAGCGAAAGUUACGCUAAUACCGCAUAUUCUGUGUGCAGGAAAGCAGGGGAUCGCAAGACCUUGCGCUGAUUGAGCGGCCGAUAUCAGAUUAGCUAGUUGGUGAGGUAAAGGCUCACCAAGGCGACGAUCUGUAGCGGGUCUGAGAGGAUGAUCCGCCACACGGGAACUGGGACACGGUCCAGAGUCCUGCGGGAGGCAGCAGUGGGGAAUUUUGGACAAUGGGGGCAACCCUGAUCCAGCCAUGCCGCGUGAGUGAAGAAGGCCUUCGGGUUGUAAAGCUCUUUCGGCCGGGAAGAAAUCGUAUCAGCUAAAACCUGGUGCGGAUGACGGUACCGGCAUAAGAAGCACCGGCUAACUACGUGCCAGCAGCCGCAGUAAUAC
rnacentral:rRNA from 1 species